GGCCGCAGAACCACUGAGUCAAAUCCCCAGCCCUUGCUCACAUUUAAAAGAAACCUAAAAAUUGGAAUCCAGCAUUGGCUCCUGCUGAAACCACUGUGUCCUGCUACCUCACUGCUUUCUCGAACAUUGAACCAGCCUGUCUCAGAGGAGGUGGUAGAAGAGAGAAGACCGAACUGAGGAAAGUUUCUCAGACAGUUCUCGUGAAUCACCCAAGUCCCACAGCUUCAGAGAAACAGAGUCCUCAGGCACUUCUCCACGUGCUCUCCACAAGGACAAGUGAGGGACUGGAUGCCGUGUACUGGACCUCACCCCUGCACAGGUGAUUCACGGGUAGCAAGGACACAGCCUGGCAUCCGAGCAGCUCUUGCAUGAGAUGCAGCAGAUUGGUAUGCAGGCUUGGUGGGCUCUGGCUAAUCUUGCAGGGAACCCUUCAAUCUGAAUAACAAUCAACAAGAUUUUAAAGAAAUUUGGGCCAAUUUCCUGGAAGUCUAUGAUUAAUCUAAUUGCUGGGUUUUCCUCUGUUUUUGUCUCCCACUGUUAAUUUCAUUUAUUUUUCUCUUUCUUCUUCGACACAGACUGCCUUGUCUCUGUACGCGGUUUUGUCACUGUUGUUAUUUGUCCGUGCAUAGUUUAUCAUUGGCAGUGCUUUCAAUGGGAUUGUUGUACUCUAUGUUUGGGGAAGGAGAAUCUUUCAAUAGAGACAACACAUUGCAGCAGAAAGAAAGAGCACUGGGCUGAAUUUCAGAUACCCCUUCUUUUCAAAAAUCUAGCUCUGUGGGUACCUGCUAAGUGUCUCUGGAUUUUCAAAUUAGCAAUUUGAAAGAGGGCAGUUAAAGAGCCCUCAUCCUGUUACUCCUGGCCCCUCCCUCCACUGAAAACUAUGUGGCAUUU